UAUCCUACCACCCUCUAGGCUUCUGCAUUCUUCCACGUGUCACCUCUAGAUUCCCACACUCCCUAAUCAUCCUCCGAAAACACACUCAUCUUCAUUCCCCACUCAAAUUCGAUCAAAAACCAAAAGCUUCAAUUUUUUUUAACCUUUCUUUCAAUGGCUGAUUCUGUGUUUUUCCCUUUGGCUGCCAAGGCUCCCUAUGAUCAUUCUUCUUUGGUUUUCCGAAACUGCCGUUUCCCUUCACGUUUGUUGCCAUCCCAGUCCUUCUCUUUGAAACUGAAUGGGAAUAAGUUGAAUGUGUUGGCCCUGAGUCAGUACUCGUUCCUCUCGCUCCACCACCGAGUUGGCCCGAUUCGUGCUCUUGAAUCGGACGUUCCUCAGCCACUUCACAAGGAUUCAGUGAAUUUUAAGAGUACAAAGAGCUAUGAGGAAUGGGAUUCAUUGACAGCAAAGUUUUCUGGGGCGGCAAAUAUACCAUUUUUAUUGCUUCAAUUGCCUCAGAUCAUCCUCAAUGCACGCAAUCUUCUGGCAGGGAAUAAGACUGCCCUUUUGGCAGUACCAUGGAUGGGAAUGUUCACUGGUUUGCUUGGAAACCUUUCACUGCUUUCUUACUUUGCCAAGAAAAGGGAAAUGGAGGCAGUUGUGGUGCAAACACUAGGAGUGGUAUCGAUAUAUGUGGUGAUUACGCAGCUCGCAAUGGCAGAAGCUAUGCCGCUACCUUACUUUGUGGCCACUUCUGCUGUUGUGGGUGCUGGACUCAUUUUAAAUUUUUUAAACUACCAUGGUAUGCUCAACGUGACAAUCUGGCAAUUUUGGGAAGAUUUUAUUACUGUUGGUGGACUUUCAGUGCUUCCCCAGAUAAUGUGGUCCACAUUCGUCCCAUAUAUACCUAAUAGCAUCUUGCCAGGGGCAAUAGCUUUUGUUCUUGCUAUGGCAGCUGUAACUAUGGCACAUAUGGGCAAACUUUCAGCGAAAGGUGUCAAAUUCGUUGGAGCUAUUUCUGGAUGGACAGCAACACUUCUUUUUAUGUGGAUGCCUGUUUCACAAAUGUGGACAAAUUUCUUGAAUCCUGAUAAUAUUAAAGGCCUAUCAGCUUUUUCAAUGUUGCUUGCUAUGAUUGGAAAUGGACUUAUGAUUCCACGUGCUCUAUUCAUUCGUGAUUUUAUGUGGUUCACUGGUUCUACUUGGGCAACACUCUUUUAUGGUUAUGGGAAUAUUGUAUGCUUAUACUUUUUCAACUCUAUCAGCCGAGAAUUCUUCUUUGCAGCAACAGUUGGUUUGAUUUCAUGGCUAGGAAUGGCUCUAUGGAGAAACACUGUUGUAUGUGGAUAUGACUCACCGAUAAGAACUUUGAAAGAGUUGGUUUUUGGAUCAUAAGGUGAAGCCAGUUGUGACAAAGCCAUGAGUUGGAAUGGCACAAAAGUGAUUUGCAUGAUCUUGAGCAUGAAAUAUUCUUUGCUGAGAUUCCAAUUAUGUGGUCAAUAUUGUGGCCACAGUCUGCCAACUAAAGAGUUUACCAAAUCGAUAGUAGUGCAUGUUCCUAAUUUCCAAUGAUUUUAUUUGCAAACAUAGCUGGAAUGAUCAUAUGUAAUUAGUACUGGAAUUGAAUAAGGAUGGAUGAUAUGACAGUUCAUGUUAUCAGGAACUGCUGUCCAAUUAUACAAACUUGGACUGGAAAAUGGUUGGCGUGAGGUAUAUUGCAGAGUGAUGGCAGAUAAUAAACAGCCUGAUUCCAAUUACUGCUUGCUUUGGGGCGUUAUAAUGUUCUUGCUGAACUAAUUAAUCUUUUCUCAUACUUUUUUGUGCUAUAAUUUUUUUGUAGGAGGAAAAAUUCCUGUCAAAAUCGUUCUCUAUUAUGAAUUACAAUUUUCCUUCAUGUCAUUUUGAGAUGUCAUAACCAUAACCAUGCUAGGCAGUCGAGAUACUUGUAAGGAUCUUGUUCCAUUAUUCUCUAGAUUGUUGUUUUCUGUAGCGAUAGUCGCAUAUUUUGGAGAUUGGUUUUCACACGGUUUUGAUCAACUCUCUUCUUGGCAUACACUAUUUAGGUAAUUUAGACGGGGCUUUGGUAAGUUGUGAUUGGGCCCAAAAAAGAGCUCCAAUCGCACCAUAGCAUUCGUUUUGUUCAAUGGAGAUAAUUACCCAGUGAACAUCAAGGAUUUUAAAUGCUUAUCCUGACUUCAAAUAACUCGUUUCCAGUAUUGAACUGUAUUUACUCAGGUGUGUAAACCAUACUCUUUUGAUGUAAUAGCAUUUCCAUAAAUGUACACUAGGAUGUUUCUUUUCUUUAUUUUUAGGGUUGGGUUGGGGAGUGAGGCUAGUAUAGUUAUUUGGACACU